rnacentral:rRNA from 1 species
AGGGCAAUGGGGGGCAACCUGAUGCAGCCAUGCCGCGUGUGUGAGAAGGCCUUCGGGUUGUAAAGCACUUUCAGUUGUGAGGAAAAGUUAGUAGUUAAUACCUGCUAGCCGUGACGUUAACAACAGAAGAAGCACCGGCUAACUCCGUGCCAGCAGCCGCGGUAAUACGGAGGGUGCGAGCGUUAAUCGGAAUUACUGGGCGUAAAGCGCACGCAGGCGGUUUGUUAAGCUAGAUGUGAAAGCCCCGGGCUCAACCUGGGAUGGUCAUUUAGAACUGGCAGACUAGAGUCUUGGAGAGGGGAGUGGAAUUCCAGGUGUAGCGGUGAAAUGCGUAGAUAUCUGGAGGAACAUCAGUGGCGAAGGCGACUCCCUGGCCAAAGACUGACGCUCAUGUGCGAAAGUGUGGGUAGCGAACAGGAUUAGAUACCCUGGUAGUCCACACCGUAAACGCUGUCUACUAGCUGUUUGUGACUUUAAGCCGUGAGUAGCGAAGCUAACGCGAUAAGUAGACCGCCUGGGGAGUACGGCCGCAAGGUUAAAACUCAAAGAAUUUUGACGGA